GCCUGGGUGGCUCGGUCAGUUAAGCGUCUGAUUUCAGCUCAGAUCAUGAUCUCACAGUUUGUGGGUUCAAGCCCCAUGUCAGGCU
rnacentral:tRNA from 1 species